rnacentral:sRNA from 1 species
CAGAGUCACAAGCCUGAAACCACGAUGUGCUUGCACGAGAGUGGUUUUAUGGCUUAGUGACUUGCCACAAUAUGAGGAUAAAAGCAGGGUGUAGCCCUGCGAUAUCCGAAUAUUGUGCAGGAUUGUGGAAGUGCAUAGCACGGAGCAAUCCGU